rnacentral:rRNA from 1 species
GACGAACGCUGGCGGCGUGCUUAACACAUGCAAGUGGAGCGACGAACCUGGCUUCGGCCAGGGGCAAAGCCGCGAACGGGUGAGUAACACGUGGGUAACGUGCCCCAAUCACUGGGACAACCCGGGGAAACCCGGGCUAAUACCGGAUGGGCUUCAUCCACAUCAGUGGAUGAAGUAAAGGUAGCUUCGGCUUCCGGAUCGGGAUCGGCGCGCGGCGCAUUAGCUUGUUGGUGAGGUAACGGCUCACCAAGGCCGCGUUGCGUAGCUGGUCUGAGGGGGAGAUCGGCCCGACUGGGACUGAGACACGGCCGAGACUCCUACGGGAGGCAGAAGUAGGGAAUCUUCCGCAAUGGGCGAAAGCCUGACGGAGCAACGCCGCGUGAGUGAUGAAGGUUUUCGGAUCGUAAAGCUCUGUUGCCAGGGAAGAACGUUUUCUAGAGUAACUGCUAGAGAAGUGACGGUACCUGAGAAGAAAGCCCCGGCUAACUACGUGCCAGCCGCCGCGGUAAGAC